AGCAGUAGCCACGGGAAUACGGAGGGGGCUAGCGUUGUUCGGAAUUACUGGGCGUAAAGCGCACGUAGGCGGCUUUGUAAGUUAGAGGUGAAAGCCCGGAGCUCAACUCCGGAAUUGCCUUUAAGACUGCAGAGCUAGCAGGUGAGAGAGGUGAGUGGAAUUCCGAGUGUAGAGGUGAAAUUCGUAGAUAUUCGGAAGAACACCAGUGGCGAAGGCGGCUUACUGGCUCAUACUGGACGCUGAGGUGCGAAAGCGUGGGGAGCAAACAGGAUUAGAUACCCGCGUAGUCCCUGUCUCUUAUAC
rnacentral:rRNA from 1 species